rnacentral:rRNA from 1 species
GAGUUUGAUCAUGGCUCAGAUUGAACGCUGGCGGCAGGCCUAACACAUGCAAGUCGAACGGUAACAGGAAGAAGCUUGCUUCUUUGCUGACGAGUGGCGGACGGGUGAGUAAUGUCUGGGAAACUGCCUGAUGGAGGGGGAUAACUACUGGAAACGGUAGCUAAUACCGCAUAACGUCGCAAGACCAAAGAGGGGGACCUUCGGGCCUCUUGCCAUCGGAUGUGCCCAGAUGGGAUUAGCUAGUAGGUGGGGUAACGGCUCACCUAGGCGACGAUCCCUAGCUGGUCUGAGAGGAUGACCAGCCACACUGGAACUGAGACACGGUCCAGACUCCUACGGGAGGCAGCAGUGGGGAAUAUUGCACAAUGGGCGCAAGCCUGAUGCAGCCAUGCCGCGUGUAUGAAGAAGGCCUUCGGGUUGUAAAGUACUUUCAGGCGGGGAGGAAGGGAGUAAAGUUAAUACCUUUGCUCAUUGACGUUACCCGCAGAAGAAGCACCGGCUAACUCCGUGCCAAGCAGCCGACGGUAAUACGGAGGGUGCAAGCGUUAAUCGGAAUUACUGGGCGUAAAGCGCACGCAGGCGGUUUGUUAAGUCAGAUGUGAAAUCCCCGGGCUCAACCUGGGAACUGCAUCUGAUACUGGCAAGCUUGAGUCUCGUAGAGGGGGGUAGAAUUCCAGGUGUAGCGGUGAAAUGCGUAGAGAUCUGGAGGAAUACCGGUGGCGAAGGCGGCCCCCUGGACGAAGACUGACGCUCAGGUGCGAAAGCGUGGGGAGCAAACAGGAUUAGAUACCCUGGUAGUCCACGCCGUAAACGAUGUCGACUUGGAGGUUGUGCCCUUGAGGCGUGGCUUCCGGAGCUAACGCGUUAAGUCGACCGCCUGGGGAGUACGGCCGCAAGGUUAAAACUCAAAUGAAUUGACGGGGGCCCGCACAAGCGGUGGAGCAUGUGGUUUAAUUCGAUGCAACGCGAAGAACCUUACCUGGUCUUGACAUCCACAGAACUUUCCAGAGAUGGAUUGGUGCCUUCGGGAACUGUGAGACAGGUGCUGCAUGGCUGUCGUCAGCUCGUGUUGUGAAAUGUUGGGUUAAGUCCCGCAACGAGCGCAACCCUUAUCCUUUGUUGCCAGCGGUCCGGCCGGGAACUCAAAGGAGACUGCCAGUGAUAAACUGGAGGAAGGUGGGGAUGACGUCAAGUCAUCAUGGCCCUUACGACCAGGGCUACACACGUGCUACAAUGGCGCAUACAAAGAGAAGCGACCUCGCGAGAGCAAGCGGACCUCAUAAAGUGCGUCGUAGUCCGGAUUGGAGUCUGCAACUCGACUCCAUGAAGUCGGAAUCGCUAGUAAUCGUGGAUCAGAAUGCCACGGUGAAUACGUUCCCGGGCCUUGUACACACCGCCCGUCACACCAUGGGAGUGGGUUGCAAAAGAAGUAGGUAGCUUAACCUUCGGGAGGGCGCUUACCACUUUGUGAUUCAUGACUGGGGUGAAGUCGUAACAAGGUAACCGUAGGGGAACCUGCGGUUGGAUCACC